rnacentral:rRNA from 1 species
AUUGAACGCUGGCGGCAUGAUUUACACAUGCAAGUCGAACGGUAACAGGCCGCAAGGUGCUGACGAGUGGCGAACGGGUGAGUAAUGCAUCGGAACGUGCCCAGUCGUGGGGGAUAACUACUCGAAAGAGUAGCUAAUACCGCAUACGAUCUAUGGAUGAAAGCGGGGGACCGUAAGGCCUCGCGCGAUUGGAGCGGCCGAUGUCAGAUUAGGUAGUUGGUGGGGUAAAGGCUCACCAAGCCAACGAUCUGUAGCUGGUCUGAGGGGACGACCAGCCACAACUGGAACUGGGAAACGGCCAGACUCCCUAGGGAGGCAGCCGGGGGGGAUUUUGGACCAUGGGGGGAAGGCUGAUCCAGCAAUGGCGCGGGCAGGAAGGAAGCCUUCGGGUUGUUAACUGCUUUUUUACGGGACGAAAAGGGUUUGGGUAAUACCCGGGGCUAAUGACGGUACCGGAAGAAAAAGGCCCGGCUUACUACGGU